AUUGAACGCUGGCGGAAUGCUUUACACAUGCAAGUCGAACGGCAGCACGGACUUCGGUCUGGUGGCGAGUGGCGAACGGGUGAGUAACAUAUCGGAACGUAUCCAAUAAUGGGGGAUAACGAGUCGAAAGAUUCGCUAAUACCGCAUACGCCCUACGGGGGAAAGCUGGGGACCUUCGGGCCUGGCGUUAAUGGAGCGGCCGAUAUCUGAUUAGCUAGUUGGUGAGGUAAAGGCUCACCAAGGCGACGAUCAGUAGCUGGUCUGAGAGGACGACCAGCCACACUGGAACUGAGACACGGUACAGACUCCUACGGGAGGCAGCAGUGGGGAAUUUUGGACAAUGGGCGCAAGCCUGAUCCAGCCAUUCCGCGUGGGUGAAGAAGGCCUUCGGGUUGUAAAGCUCUUUCGCAAGGGAAGAAAACUUAGCCACUAACAUUGGUUGAGGUUGACGGUACCUUGAUAAGAAGCACCGGCUAACUACGUGCCAGCCGCCGCGGUAA
rnacentral:rRNA from 1 species